UUAGAGUUUGAUCCUGGCUCAGGAUGCUUGCUGGCGGCGUGCUUAACACAUGCAAGUCGAACGAGCGGAAGGCCUUCGGGCGUGAAGCGAGUGGCGGACGGGUGAGUAACGCGUGGGUAACCUGCCUCAUACAGGGGGAUAACGAUUGGAAACGAUCGCUAAUACCGUAUAAGUGCACAGUACCGCAUGGUACAGUGUAAAAAGCUCCGGCGGUAUGAGAUGGACCCGCGUUAGAUUAGCCAGUUGGCGGGGUAACGGCCCACCAAAGCGACGAUCUAUAGCCGGCCUGAGAGGGCGACCGGCCACAUUGGAACUGAGACACGGUCCAGACUCCUACGGGAGGCAGCAGUGAGGAAUAUUGGUCAAUGGGCGGAAGCCUGAACCAGCCAUGCCGCGUGCAGGAAUAAGGCCCUAUGGGUCGUAAACUGCUUUUGUAGCGGAGCAAUAAGGACUACGUGUAGUCCGAUGAGAGUACAUUACGAAUAAGCAUCGGCUAACUCCGUGCCAGCAGCCGCGGUAAUACGGAGGAUGCAAGCGUUAUCCGGAUUUAUUGGGUUUAAAGGGUGCGUAGGCUGUUUUUCAAGUCAGAGGUGAAAUCCCGGAGCUUAACUCUGGAACUGCCUUUGAUACUGGGAGGCUUGAAUACGGAUGCCGUGGGAGGAAUGAGUAGUGUAGCGGUGAAAUGCAUAGAUAUUACACAGAACACCGAUUGCGAAGGCAUCUCACGAAGCGGUGAUUGACGCUGAUGCACGAAAGUGCGGGGAUCAAACAGGAUUAGAUACCCUGGUAGUCCGCACAGUAAACUAUGAUAACCAGCUGUCGGCGAUAGAAUGUCGGUGGCCAAGCGAAAGCGAUAAGUUAUCCACCUGGGGAGUACGACCGCAAGGUUGAAACUCAAAGGAAUUGACGGGGGCCCGCACAAGCGGAGGAACAUGUGGUUUAAUUCGAUGAUACGCGAGGAACCUUACCCGGGCUCGAACGGUACCGGACGACUUCAGAGAUGGAGUUUCCCUUCGGGGCUGGUAUCGAGGUGCUGCAUGGUUGUCGUCAGCUCGUGCCGUGAGGUGUCGGCUUAAGUGCCAUAACGAGCGCAACCCUUGUUGACAGUUGCCAUCAGGUAAAGCUGGGGACUCUGUCGAGACUGCCACCGUAAGGUGUGAGGAAGGGGGGGAUGACGUCAAAUCAGCACGGCCCUUAUGUCCGGGGCGACACACGUGUUACAAUGGUGACUACAGAGGGAAGCUACCUGGCGACAGGAUGCGAAUCUCGAAAAGUCAUCCCAGUUCGGAUCGGAGUCUGCAACUCGACUCCGUGAAGUUGGAUUCGCUAGUAAUCGCGCAUCAGCCAUGGCGCGGUGAAUACGUUCCCGGGCCUUGCACACACCGCCCGUCA
rnacentral:rRNA from 1 species